CUGAGCUGAAGCUGGACUUUUAACCGACUGAGCCACCCAGGCGCCCCUAAAGAUUUUAUUCUUAGUAAACUCUACACCCAGCGUGGGGCUUGAACUCACACAUCCAAUGUCCAGAGCCCCACGCUGCUCCAACCCAGCAGAUGGAAGA